AUGAGCUCAAGUUUCUUAUAUACAAAUAUUCAAAUAUUUAUGGAAAUGUGUUCAUGUGUUGCAUGUGUGUGUCAACACACACACACACACAUGCACAUACAUACUUAUAUAUUCCUAUCUGAAUAUAUAUUCCUUCUACUGAGCAGGUCAAGAAGCAAUGACACCACAUCAGCAAUAAGCACAUCACAUAGUCAAAUCUUGGUGAAGGUACGAUCAACCCUUCCCAUUUUCCCUUCCUUUACUCUUUUUUUUUUUGUCUUUUUGUCUUUUUUUUUUUUUGUUGUUGUUGUUGCUAUUUCUUGGGCCGCUCCCGCGGCAUAUGGAGGUUCCCAGGCUAGGGGUCGAAUCGGAGCUGUAGCCACCGGCCUACGCCAGAGCCACAGCAACGUGGGAUCCGAGCCGCGUCUGCAACCUACACCACAGCUCACGGCAACGCCGGAUCGUUAAUCCACUGAGCAAGGGCAGGGACCGAACCCGCAACCUCAUGGUUCCUAGUCGGAUUCGUUAACCACUGCGCCACGACGGGAACUCCCCUUCCUUUACUCUUGUCCCUUCCCUUCCCAGAACAGAACAGUUAGAGGCGGGCCUGUCCCAUGGUGGUAAGAAUGGAGACAGAGAGAAAGGGGAGCCGUGAAGAGGUAUCCACGGCUGAAAGGAACCAGUACUCCUUAGAGAAACAAUUGAUUCUAGGCUGGGAUAGGAAAAGUACAAGGUGAUUCUGAAGCAUAUUUUGUGCCAGAAAGUAAAGAGAUGCUCCAAGAGUUGUUGGAACAUGAAAAAAGGACAUAGUGAUCAACUUACUGGCUAAAUCUGGGACAACAUCAGCAUCAAAAUAGUUAGUAGUAAUAAGAGAUUCAACCCAUUGAACAAAAUAGGGGUCUGUAAGUCUACACUGAUAUAAUAAAUAAUAAACACAUAAGAGAAAAGGAAAAGCUCUUCUUUGAACUAUAAUGCCAAAUAAGUGAGGAUGGGAUCAUAGAAAAUGAAAAUCAUUGGCCACCACCAAAACAUUGUUUGGUUCAGAUAGAAGUCAUCAGUGGAGGCGAUGGCUGGUAGGUAGGAGUUGAAUGAAGAACAGGAUGUGGGCAUCUUACAUAACACUACCCAAUUACAAAGCGAAAGAUGGUGACUCUAAGGUAGAGAACUUGGCAACCAGGGUGGAGACAGAUGGACUGUGUGGCCCCCAGUGUGAUGGGCUAAGAAGAGCAUGCCAUGAUGUCAUUUCUGCAAUAUUCCUGCCAGGAAAUCCUGACCUGACUCUGCCAGGAAGAAAUACCAGACCACUUAGUCAAGGGACAUCCUAGAGGGUGUAAAACGUAUACUUUAUCAAGGAAGCCAGGAAGACUGAGGAAAUGUCCCAGAUAGAGGAGACCAAAAGGAGAGUGACAACCACACGCAGUGCAUGCUCCCUCAUGGCGACCUGGUCCUGGCGGGAAAGAGUCAUGGUCGGGACAGUCAGUGAAAUCGGAUGGAGGUUGGGAAUUGGAUGAUGAUGUUGUGUCAAUGUUGAUUUUCUGACUUGCAGAGUUGUAUGUGGUUACAUGAGACCAUCUUGCAUUUGGGGAAAAACACACUGGAGUAUUUAUUUAGGAGCAUUAGGACAUCAUGUUUGCAGCUCAGUUUCAAGUGGUUUGGAAAAAGACUAGUGAUAAUGGGUAUAGAUAAACAUAAAUAAAUCAACACACACGGGGAAGGGGGUGGGAACAAAAGCAGUGAAACGUUAAUGAUGGAAUCUGGGUGAAGGUAUAUGAUACAGGAAUUCAUUAUAUUGUUCGUACAGCUUUGCAGUAAGUUUGAAGUUAUCUCAAAACAAAUCACGCAGGGAAAAAAGAGUAACCUAAUCAUCCUUCCUCCCCAAAGCAAUUUCAACUCUGAGACAUCUCUGUCUUUGAUGUCUGUUCUUUCCCUCGGCACAGCUCCAGGGGCACAGGGAGCGGUGUGCGGGCAGGCGGGCUGUGGCACAAACGCACAGCCCUUGCGGCGUUCUGCGUCCCCCACUUCACAAGUUCUCAUGGAGUGAAUCGGAUGUAACAUGACUGAUCAAUUAGGGACUGCAAUUGCCUGUACCAACCACUCUCGGUUUUCCCUUGAUUGCCAUCGGGAGCAAUCACCCUGAGUGAGGGAAGGAAGCGGAGGUGAGCAGUGCAGAAUCGCAUAACUCUUCUGUCUCGGGGCGGCUAGCUCACCGGCCUCGCAGGCAUUGGCUACCCUUCUGUGGUUGAGAGCCCAGGCUGCCAUUCACUUUGACGGUCUAGAUAGAAUCUUGCUGAUUUGGGUCGGAUUGGGUAUGGUGUUGAGGAUUCAGUGGCGUUCAAGUUUGGUGCUGUCAGUUUUGAUCAGCCAGUGUAUUAUUUUUGGAUUUCAGUUAACAAAAUACACACUUUAGAGCUAUAAAACACCUUUCUUAUUAAAAUUCCUGCAGAAGCAAUUCUGUGAUUUGAGUCUGAAAUUUUCUGGCUUCUCAUCCCUUUGGUCCCUUUGAAAUUGUUGUUUAUGCAACACAAUUUUUGGAUAUUUUCUUUUCUGAAGACUAUAGUGUUAGGCUGGAAAAUUCUGGAAUUGGAAGGGGACUUAGAGGUUAUUUAGGGUCCAGCGGCAGACCCAGACUCUACAAUCUAAGGGGUACAGCUAAGGAAGAAAGGGUGGGCAGAAAGAGGACUCGAAACACAGAUGCGUCUCCCUCCAGAAGGAACGGGGCAUGAGCCAGCAAAAAUUUUAUCUUUCUCAGCUAUAGCUAGAGCUGGAAAGCACUGAUCCCCUCAAAUCCCCCAGCCCCAGGCAGGGGUGCUGCCAACCCAACCAGAAUGGGGUCCCAGCCUCCCCACAAACCUCUCCAGUGAUAGAGCUGCAGUCUCUCCCCGAAAGCCCAGCUGAGGUCAUGGCCUUUGCUUCUUCCCUCUGCUCCUCACCCCCAGCACCCAUCCCUGUCCUUCCACUUGUCUGCAGCCCCACCAGGCUUGGCCAGACUUAGAGACACAUUCUGAGGCAGCCCCAUGGGGUGGGAGAAGCCCCCGGUUGCCCUCCAAAGGGUGCUGUGCCCGCUGCCUGCCUCUAGUCUCUUUGACAGCUUUGUGCUCUGUGCUAUAAAUAAAUGAUUUUGAAUGCUUAUCUGCUUCCCUCUGUCUGCUUUUCAAGUUAUUUUUGGGUGACAGGCCUCUUCUGUGUUAGGUGGGGGCCUGCGUGAUUGAAGACCACGCCCACCUUGUCAAGGGCAAAUGAGGCCGGCCAGGGCGAGGUGGUGGCUGGGGCGGCUGGCAGGGGCAGGGCGUGUCUUGAGAUUCAGAGCAGGGAGGGCUCCUGUCCUCCUGCUGAAGGGUCCCAGGCAGACCAGGGGCCCUGAUAUGGUCCAAGCUACUUACCCCCACCAGAGAAUCCUGAGCUCAGCUCCUCUCCUCCCAUCUACCUCUGCAUCCUCAGGCACUGUUCUCUUGAGACAAGCAACCUGGAACAUGCAGAGGAGCCUAACGCAGGAGUCAGGACCCUUGGGCCCCUCUCCGGGCCUGCAACUUCCUGGUUGGUGGCUUUGGGUGACUCAGUGCUUCUCUGCACCUCUGGUGGUUUUUUUUUUUUUUUUUUUUAAUUUUUGUCAGAGUAUAGUUGAUUUACAGUGUUGUGCAAAUUUCUGCUGUAUUGCACCUCAGUUUUUUAUCCAUUAAAUGGGAUGGCUGACCGUGGUCCUGCCUGGUUAGAGGGCUGAGAUGUGCGUGAGGCAGAAUACUAACUCAGUGGAGGAGCAUGGGCUUCGAUGCAAUCUUUGAUGUGGCUAUUGAUUAACAUUUGUGGUUUAAGGGCUCCAGAGAACAAGAUCCCCACAGGCCUUGUUUACUACAGGAAGCGUAUCUAUGCCCACAUGGACCUUAAUCUCUAACCCACUUCUCAGCUGAUAGAAAAGAAAUGAGAGGAAUGGUGACUCAGUCUAAGGGAAGAGAAAGGCAAAGAAAUCAUAAAACUUACGGGACAUUUCCACCCCUAAAACCCCUAUUGGACAAGGACUGAUAGAGGUAACUGGGCAAGGCCAAUGGGAGAAAAACCUCAUCCUUCUGGACCCCACGUUGGUAACCCCAUCUUUAAGGGAUAAAAACCCCUACGGGACAAUGGAAAAGGAGACUCUUUUUCCUGCUCUCAGUAGCCCAGGGAGCUAUUUGCUUUCCUGUAAUAAAGACUUUACUUGCUUGCUGCCUGUGUGUUGGCAGAGUUCAUUCUUCGACUGCAUGGACAAGAACCCGGAUUCCGGUAACAUCUUUCCAGAAUAGAGUUUUCACCCCCCACCCCCAGCCCUGAGGGCAGCUUUGGCUGCU
rnacentral:lncRNA from 9 species